AUACGGAGGGUGCAAGCGUUACUCGGAAUCACUGGGCGUAAAGCGUGCGCAGGCGGCUAUUUAAGUUGGAUGUGAAAGCCUACGGCUCAACCGUAGAACUGCAUCCAAAACUAUUUAGCUAGAGUGUGGGAGAGGAAGAUGGAAUUAGUUGUGUAGGGGUAAAAUCCGUAGAGAUAACUAGGAAUACCAAAAGCGAAGGCAAUCUUCUGGAACACUACUGACGCUGAGGCGCGAAAGCGUGGGGAGCAAACGGGAUUAGAAACCCUAGUAGUCC
rnacentral:rRNA from 1 species